AACGGCCGUACCAUGCUGAAUAUACCGGUUCUCGUUAGAUCACCGAAGUUAAGCAUCAUUGGGCGCGGUCAGUACUUGGGUGGGUGACCACCUGGGAAACUGCGUGCCGUU
rnacentral:rRNA from 1 species